UGCCAGCAUCCGCGGUACCACUGGUUGCGCAAGCGUUAUUCGGAAUUAUUGGGCGUAAAGCGCGCGUAGGCGGACUGUUAAGUCGGCUGUGAAAGCCCUGGGCUCAACCUAGGAACUGCAUCCGAUACUGGCAAUCUAGAGUUUAAGAGAGGGAAGUGGAAUUCCAGGUGUAGCAGUGAAAUGCGUAGAUAUCUGGAGGAACAUCAGUGGCGAAGGCGACUUCCUGGCUUAAAACUGACGCUGAGGUGCGAAAGCUUGGGUAGCGAACGGGAUUAGAUA
rnacentral:rRNA from 1 species